rnacentral:rRNA from 1 species
UACGUAGGGUGCAAGCGUUAAUCGGAAUACUGGGCGUAAAGCGUGCGCAGGCGGUUUUGUAAGUCUGUCGUGAAAUCCCCGGGCUCAACCUGGGAAUUGCGAUGGAGACUGCAAGGCUAGAAUCUGGCAGAGGGGGGUAGAAUUCCACGUGUAGCAGUGAAAUGCGUAGAGAUGUGGAGGAACACCGAUGGCGAAGGCAGCCCCCCUGGGUCAAGAUUGACG